UACGUAGGGUGCGAGCGUUGUCCGGAAUUAUUGGGCGUAAAGAGCUUGUAGGCGGUUGUCGCGUCUGCUGUGAAAUCGGGACUCACCCGACUUGCAGUGGGUACGGGCAGACUAGAGUGUGGUAGGGGAGACUGGAAUUCCUGGUGUAGCGGUGAAAUGCGCAGAUAUCAGGAGGAACACCGAUGGCGAAGGCAGGAUCUCUGGGCCGACUACUGCGCUGAGAAGCG
rnacentral:rRNA from 1 species